GCAAUAAUGUCCCUGGGUGCGUCCGCAGGGGCGGCCGCGGCCUUCCGAAUCCUGAAUGCCGCUGUGAUGGGCCGCAGUUCACCAUUUUUCUUUGCUCCCAUCAUGGUCGCUAGUUUAUUAGUAAACUCCAGUAAGGCUUCUGGGCCUAUAGUUUCAGGUGCGCCGCGGAUGCGGACAUUUCUCUUGCGAUGUCUGGCCUCUAUCGCGGUCACUGUGCGGGUAAGUCUCAGGAUUUGUUGGGUCAGGG